AGGCGAAACGGCGCCCCAAGCGCCGUCCGGCCGGGAUGGCUUCCGGCCGCUGAUGAGCCAAGCCGAAA
rnacentral:hammerhead_ribozyme from 1 species